CUCGAGCCGCAACCUCCCUUUCU
rnacentral:miRNA from 1 species